GCCUACGGGGCGCAGCAGUGGGGGAUAUUGCACAAUGGGGGGAACCCUGAUGCAGCGACGCCGCGUGGGUGAAGGAGCGUUUCGGCACGUAAAGCCCUAUCGGCAGGGAAGAAAAUGACGGUACCUGACUAAGAAGCCCCGGCUAACUACGUGCCAGCAGCCGCGGUAAUACGUAGGGGGCAAGCGUUAUCCGGAUUUACUGGGUGUAAAGGGAGCGUAGACGGCAGCGCAAGUCUGGAGUGAAAUGCCGGGGCCCAACCCCGGAACUGCUUUGGAAACUGGGCAGCUCGAGUGCAGGAGAGGUA
rnacentral:rRNA from 1 species